UUUUAGUAGCAGAAGAGCUCAGAAUUUCUCGGAUUCCAGUUUUGUAAAGAUAGAAGGUAAAGUCCAAAUUGUAUUUGUCAGCGCUGUGCAAGAGUGGAGUACUGAAAAGAUUUUGGAAGAAAUCAGCCAAACAUGAAAUGCCUUGGAAUUUUCUUACCAAGAGCAUAAAAGAACAGAAAUUUCUUUAUUAAGGUCCAAUGAACAGCUGCUUGAAACUUAAGAUAAUAACGAAUAAAGAAAAUGUGAUGGAAGCUACAAGAAAGGCCAAGGUG